CCGAGUGAGGGCCUUCGGGCUCGACCUCCAACCCUUUGUGAACACAUCUUGUUGCUUCGGGGGCGACCCUGCCGUUCCGACGGCGGGCGCCCCCGGAGGCCUUCAAACACUGCAUCUUUGCGUCGGAGUUUAAGUAAAUUUAAACA
rnacentral:misc_RNA from 1 species